rnacentral:rRNA from 1 species
GAUGAACGCUGGCGGCGUGCCUAAUACAUGCAAGUCGAGCGAACAGACGAGGAGCUUGCUCCUCUGACGUUAGCGGCGGACGGGUGAGUAACACGUGGAUAACCUACCUAUAAGACUGGGAUAACUUCGGGAAACCGGAGCUAAUACCGGAUAAUAUAUUGAACCGCAUGGUUCAAUAGUGAAAGACGGUUUUGCUGUCACUUAUAGAUGGAUCCGCGCCGCAUUAGCUAGUUGGUAAGGUAACGGCUUACCAAGGCAACGAUGCGUAGCCGACCUGAGAGGGUGAUCGGCCACACUGGAACUGAGACACGGUCCAGACUCCUACGGGAGGCAGCAGUAGGGAAUCUUCCGCAAAGGGCGCAAGCCUGACGGAGCAACGCCGCGUGAGUGAUGAAGGUCUUCGGAUCGUAAAACGCUGUUAUUAGGGAAGAACAAAUGUGUAAGUAACUAUGCACGUCUUGACGGUACCUAAUCAGAAAGCCACGGCUAACUACGUG